rnacentral:rRNA from 1 species
UACGGAGGGGGCUAGCGUUGUCCGAAGUUACUGGGCGUAAAGCGCGCGUAGGCGGGUUGGUAAGUCCGCUGUGAAAGCCCGGAGCUUAACUCCGGAGGGUCGGUGGAUACUGCCAGUCUUGAAGGUGCUAGGGGGAGAUGGAAUUACCGGUGCAGCGGUGAAAUGCGUAGAUAUCGGUAGGAACACCAGUGGCGAAGGCGGUCUCCUGGGGCAUUCUUGACGCUGAUGCGCGAAAGCUGGGGGAGCGAACGGG